UACGGGGGGGGCAAGCGUUGUUCGGAAUUACUGGGCGUAAAGGGCUCGUAGGCGGCCAACUAAGUCAGAUGUGAAAUCCCCGGGCUUAACCUGGGAACUGCAUUGGUGACUGGCAGGCUUUGAGUGUGGCAGAGGGAGGUAGAAUUCCACGUGUAGCAGUGAAAUGCGUAGAGAUGUGGAGGAAUACCGAUGGCGAAGGCAGCCUCCUGGGCCAACACUGACGCUCAUGCACGAAAGCGUGGGGAGCAAACAGG
rnacentral:rRNA from 1 species